ensembl:lncRNA
CACUGAAAAAAAGGGACUGGCCAUCUCUUGGAUUUAUGUGAAGUAAGUCAAUAAGAUAGCAACGUUAAAUCUCGUGAAACCACGCGUGAUUUCAUCUCACGGGCUUUGGAUCGUGGUUUAAAAAAUGCAUCCAUCUCAGUCAAGUCGAGCAGCCAACUCUACGUUUUUGGAGUCAGCUGAUGGAUUGUGGGUUCAAGGUGUUAUGAUGAAAUGCAGCAUUCCAGUGCAUCCCAACCAUGCCUUUACAGUCAAGGUUUCUGACGGAGCUGAGUUUCUCUCUGACAGUCUGCUGAAAGUGUUUGCAAAGUGAUCGGGGGAAACAGGGCACAAAGCUAAAGGAUGUAGCUGCCAUGAUGACAGACUUGACUGAGGCCACUGCACGGAUUGAGAAAACCACAAUGAACAUCUGUCUCCAGAGGAUGCACCAGGCAAUGACUUUUCUGAUGUUGGCAUCAUCAUCGAGGGUAUAGUAGUUCUUCAAGAUCUGGAUAACGUGACCUUUGCAGUAGCCAUGCUGUUUGGACCUUUUUUAUUCCUUCAACAUGAGUUACCCAUCACAACUCUGCUACACUUUUGAGGUGAUUCAAAGGGUGGUAAUGGAGUUGGAUGCAACUCAGCUCUCAAGAAAAGCUCACAACUAAGACAAAACUACUCCUGCAAGGAAAGCUCACUGUUAUGCAUGCAAGCUGAUCAGCUCUAGGUGAGAGGACAUUUAAAUCUCACACUUGUUCUGCUGCAUUUUUGAAGCUCAAUUCCAGGAACAGAUCGCAGGGUUCAUUUUUAUAUACUCUGCAACUGCCAUGAGGACGAGCCGUUUUUUGUUGUUGUUUUCCUUUUGCUCUGUACAGCAUUUUGGCAGCAUUUUUAAAUUUCUCUUUGUAUUUUUUCUUUCUUUUACUAGUGAAGAGAUGUAGCGUGAACAGUUAUGCAGUCUAAAUAUCCCAUAUGGGUCGUGUGAAAUGGUAUUUUCAGUUUCAUUCAGUUGAAGUAAAGAACGUUGAAUAUUUCUAAGUGUGCUGUUUUGAACCAAGAUGUCACAGUAUGAUCAGUGCUGUAAUUUUUGACAGUCACUGUAUCAAUGUUAUUUUUGCAUCUCUUGAAUAAAGGUUUUGACCUGCAGGUGCUAAUUUCUUUAGUUAUUGGGGUAAAAUGGGUAAUGUUAAUAGGAAGGUGUUUGCCAAUUCAGUAACCUAAU